CUCAAGUAUGUGUACCUGCUGUAAAUAUGGACGAAAAGCAAUGUGUGGGCUUUAGGUGGGCAUCUGGCGAGCGUGAGAUUCCCAUAAAGGACCUACAGAUAUUU